ensembl:snRNA U1 U1 spliceosomal RNA
AGAAUGGCAGGGGAGACACCAUGAUCAAGAAGCCGGUUCACCCAGGGCGAGGCUCGUCCAUUGCACUCCGGCUGUGCUGACCCCUGCAAAUUCCCCAAAUGUUGGAAUCUCGACUGCAUAAUUUAUGGUAGUGGGGGACUGCGUUCGCGCUCUCCCCUG